rnacentral:rRNA from 1 species
UACGUAGGAGGCGAGCGUUGUCCGGAGUUACUGGGCGUAAAGGGUGCGCAGGCGGCCGCGCGCGUGGGUGGUGAAAUCUCCCGGCUCAACUGGGAGGGGGCCAUCCAGACGGCGUGGCUUGAGGCUCGGAGGGGGGCGUGGAAUUCCGGGUGGAGCGGUGAAAUGCGUAGAGAUCCGGAAGAACACCGGUGGCGAAGGCGGUCUGCUGGGCAGUAGCUGACAUUGAGGCGCGACAGCGUGGGGAGCAAACAGG